rnacentral:tRNA from 1 species
GGCCGGUUAGCUCAGUUGGUCAGAGCGUCGUGCUAAUAACGCGAAGGUCGCGGGUUCGAUGCCAGUACUGGCCA